rnacentral:rRNA from 1 species
GACGAACGCUGGCGGCGUGCUUAACACAUGCAAGUCGAACGAUGAAGUUCCUUCGGGAAUGGAUUAGUGGCGAACGGGGGAGGAACACGUGAGAAACCUUCCUUUCAUUUUGGGAUAACUCCGGGAAACCGGGGCUAAAACCGAAUACUCCGUCUCGGCGGCAUCGCGGAGCCGGGAAAAAAUUUUGAUGAAAGAAGGUCUCGCGGCCUAUCAGCUAGUUGGUGAGGUAAUGGCUCACCAAGGCAACGACGGGUAGCCGGCCUGAGAGGGCGACCGGCCACACUGGGACUGAGACACGGCCCAGACUCCUACGGGAGGCAGCAGUGGGGAAUAUUGGGCAAUGGGCGCAAGCCUGACCCAGCGACGCCGCGUGAGGGAUGAAGGCCUUCGGGUUGUAAACCUCUUUCAGUAGGGAAGAAGCGAAAGUGACGGUACCCAAAGAAGAAGCACCGGCUAACUAUGUGCCAGCAGCCGCAGUAAUAC